UUAGAACUUUGUUUGUUUGUUUGUUUCUCGUGAAAAUUGAAAAUCCUGGAAAAUGCUUUGAGAUCUCCUUAAGCAUUGAUGACUGAAGAGGAGGACUAUGGCUGCAAGGGAAGACAAGGAAAAUUAUGGUGGAUGUGGCACUGCCACGUCACUAUUAUAAUAGAAAAAUAUUUUCUUUACUUUUCUGCAAAUCCCAAACCCUAAAUAAAUAAAUGGAUAAACAGCAAGCCUUUUCCCUAUCUUUCUUAGUCCAGAUUUUCAAACCCUAAAUCGAUAAAAAAAAACUAAAUUUUUUCUAAAAAAUUCCACAUGACCGGCCGAGGAGUUAGGGACCGUUCGCGACGUGACCACUUGCCGUCGGGAAGUUCGGGGCGGAGCAAUGCGCCGCCGUCGAGACACCUUUGGGUGGGGAAUCUAUCGCAUAGUAUACUAGAGCCGGACCUCACAGACCACUUCUUGCAAUACGGGGAACUAGAGAGCGUGGCUUUCCAGCCAGGUCGAAGCUACGCUUUUAUCAAUUUCAUGAACGAAAAAGAAGCUAUUUCCGCUAUGAAGGCGCUUCAAGGUUUCCCCGUCGCGGGGAAUCCGCUUAGGAUUGAGUUUGCCAAGGCGGACAAGUCAUCAACACCAUCAAGCAAUGAGGACAACUUGCAACGUCGAGACGAGCGACGUUCUACAGUAAGAGGGUCACCUUUCUCACCAAGGGACCCUAGAGCACGUCAUGCUAGUCCUGAACAUUUUGCCCCUGACAAAUCAAAGGCGAAUGAUAGAAGUGCAGAUCCCAGUGAGGUCCUAUGGAUAGGAUUUCCAGCAUUAUUGAAAGUAGAUGAAAUGAUUUUGAGGAAGGCUUUCUCUCCAUUUGGUGAGAUAGAGAAGAUUACUGUAUUUCCAGGACGUAGUUAUGCUUUUGUUCGCUUUAGGAGUUUAACAUCAGCAUGCAGGGCAAAAGAAACUCUUCAGGGGAAGUUAUUUGGGAAUCCCCGUGUGCAUAUUUGUUUUGCAAAGAGUGAGGGCGGGUCAUCCAACAGUGGAAGACGCUCAGUGAAUGCCCCCAACUCACCGCAUUUCAGGUUAAAUGGUCGCUUAGGGUCUUCUGAGAACUUUCUGGAUGACAGGAAUAUUGCAGACUUAACAGAAGAUGCAAGCAUUGGAUCUCCUUUUAUGCCAAAUUUUGAUUCGGAUGAUGUUGAUGUCUAUAGUUUCAAUAGGAAAGGUAUUUCAUUGAAUGGUGGGAAUACAUAUGAAGCCUGGAGGUUUGGGGAAGGGAGCCCUGAUCCUCGACUGCCACAAGAAGUGUAUGAACGUAGUAAAAGUCCAAUGAGAUUUCAUGAUUUUCCUCCAAAAUUACCUCAAAAAAGUGCAUUCUACGAAGAACCAUGGGAUAUGCCUGAAGACACCUAUCCUGUCCAUGGAGCUAAGAAAUUGAGAACUGGCUCCUUUCCUCCCGAGAAAGAGCUACCAGAGUACUCUUUAUCUGAUCUUGAACAAGAAAAACACGUUUUUCCAAGGAGACUCUCCAGCAUUCCUCAAUUUGAAGCCUUUGAUAACAAUUUUGAACCCGCAGCUUUGGGUUAUAAACAGAUUCCUGAUCGACCAAUGAAUUUAGCUCCAACUCGUGGGGAGAGGAAUGAACACUGGAAACCAUCUUAUGAUGGUUUUCAGGUCGGACCUGGUUCUCUACAAUCAAAUACAAUCGAGAGGAAAAGAUUUACUCCUGAACUGGAUCAGCCAUCUUUGAAAGAGUGGAAAUGGGAGGGGACAAUAGCCAAGGGUGGAACUCCUGUCUGUCGUGCUCGCUGCUUUCCUGUUGGAAAAGUCCUUGACAUCAUGUUGCCUGAAUUCUUAGAUUGCACAGCAAGGACUGCUCUGGACAUGCUUGCAAAGCAUUACUAUCAAGCAUCUAGUGCUUGGGUUGUUUUCUUUGUCCCUGAAAGUGAUGCUGACAUGGGAUUCUACAAUGAAUUCAUGCAUUACCUGGGAGAGAAGCAGCGAGCAGCUGUUGCUAAAUUAGAUGAUAAGACCACCUUGUUUCUUGUGCCACCAUCAGAUUUUUCGGAGAAAGUACUGAAAGUACCUGGGAAACUGAGCAUUUCAGGUGUUGUUUUGAGAUUAGAGCAUUCUGGUUCCACUUUCGGGUCUGCUCAUCCAAAUGAAAGAACAGAUGCAAACAUGUUACUUUUUCAUGGUGAUACAUCUUUUGCAAAGCCAUCAACAAUUUCAGGAUCAUUUCCUUCUAUGACAUCUUAUCCAGAAUUAAGUAUGCCAGGAAUUAAAGACAUCUAUCCAGGGAAUGGGGCUACAUCAGCUCCAUCUGUUUCACUUUCCGAGUCAGCUCAUUCUGUUGGAAAUGUAUCUGACUUGUAUGAUGAGCACAGGCAUGAUCAUGCAUCCCAGAGAAAUGCCGUGUUUGGACCAAGCUGGUCGUCUCAUGAUCUGCAGCAUCCAGUUUCUGUUACCAGAAAUACUCCUCAAGUUUCCGGUAGUGCUUUUGAUUCUGCAAUUCAAGGGCAUCAGUCAGUUAUGCCAAGAGCAGUGCAAGAAACAUAUUCUAGUACCACUGGAAGCUCAGGUACUCCAUUAUCUGGAAAUAGCAAGCCCACUAUGCCGGAAAUCAAAUCUUCAGUCCCUUUAUCUAUGCCUAUUAACGCCCUACAACCAGAACAACUAGCACAACUCGCAUCAUCUCUUAUUGGGCAGCAGAGACAGGUGGGAAAUACUCCAAAUGUAUCAAUGGGCCAGAAUUUUCGGCAGACAAAUACAAAGGACCAGUUCGACAUGUUGAGACAAUCACAGGAAUAUGCUUUACAAAAUAAUCAGGCUACUCCUGAGCUUUCAACAUCUCAGUUUUCUCAAGUGCAACAGUUGCAGCAGCAGCAGACAUCAAAUGCAGCUGCAGCAGUGUUUCAAGCAGCUCAAAGAAGUCAACAACUGCAUGGUACUGGUAUACAGGAAGAAAGUGAUGGCGAUCCACAGAAACGCUUGCAAGCAACAUUACAGCUGGCAGCAUCUCUUCUUCAACAAAUUCAACAGGGGAAAGGGACUUGAACUGGUUCCAGAUUCAAUUUCAAUGUGUCGGUGCCCUCUGUUACUACUAUCAGCUUUUUCACUUGUUUGUUUUCCAUGGGUGGCACAGAGCCUUCCAAAUGAAGCAGCUGAUUAUCUCAGUUUUUAGCACUGCUCAUAAGGAGGUUUGUUUUGCAGCUGCAUAAGUAUCAGUAUUAAAUGGAGAACCGCUGCGUUUGGGAAGCAAAGGUGUCAUCCAGUAUCUACAAAAGAGAAACAUAAGAAUUGUUUGUGCUCUGCUGCGAGGGGUAAAACUUCAAAAACACAAGGAAUAGAGAUCGGUCAACAACAAAGGUCAAGAGUUUUUUCGGUGUUUAUAUUUUCAAUGCUUGUCAAGGAGUGGGAAAGAAAAUAAGAUGAAAUAUGAGCUCAGUUAAAGAGUUUUUCAAUUAAUUUAAAAAUAUUUAGAUGAGACUACUUAUACUUGUGUGAUGGGAGAUUUUGGGUUUAAGUGACCCGAAGUCGGCGUAAAGAGAAUAUAGUUGAUUUUAUAGGCUUGAGUUGAGUUGACAAUUGAAAAUUUAAUUAGAGGAUGACAAGUCAGCACUUCCAUGUGUUAGCGGAUAGGAUGUUGAGGUGAUAAAUUGACAUAGACUUUGAGAUUUUAGGUCGGCUUAAUAUGUCAACUCGGUCAAAAUGAUCAAAAUACUCUUACUUGUGCUCUGGAAGAAAAGUUUAUUUUGCUCUUUGAACA